rnacentral:rRNA from 1 species
UACGUAGGGUGCAAGCGUUAAUCGGAAUUACUGGGCGUAAAGCGUGCGCAGGCGGUUGUGUAAGACAGGUGUGAAAUCCCCGAGCUUAACUUGGGAAUUGCACUUGUGACUGCACGGCUAGAGUGCGGCAGAGGGGGAUGGAAUUCCGCGUGUAGCAGUGAAAUGCGUAGAUAUGCGGAGGAACACCGAUGGCGAAGGCAAUCCCCUGGGCCUGCACUGACGCUCAUGCACGAAAGCGUGGGGAGCAAACAGGAUUAGAUACCCUGGUAGUCCACGCCCUAAACGAUGUCAACUGGUUGUUGGGAAUUAACUUUCUCAGUAACGAAGCUAACGCGUGAAGUUGACCGCCUGGGGAGUACGGCCGCAAGGUUGAA